AGCGCAGGCGCGCUGCCCGCGCCGCCGGAAGUGACGGUUCCGCCUCUUGUCACGUGGAGGGGGACCACGGGAGGUGAUUGUGGGGGUUGGGGACGAGGGCAAAGUCGGGGAUCCUGGGUCCAGGGUUGCGCCGGGAGGGUACUGGCUAGGCCCGGCUUCGGCCUGGGAGGUGGCCCAGGGACUGGCUCCUAGUCCAGCGCCCUGAUCCAUCAUCUCGCCUGAGAGUCGCUAUGUCACUCUCGGGGCUUAAAAAUGCCGCCAACAACUUUACCUCUGCUAAGGAACUUCUCGCUUCCUUUCUUAGCCAGUUGUUCAGGCCUUCUCCCCUGAGAACCUUCUUCCGCUCGCCCACCCUGACGUGGGAGGUGGGAGCAGGACGGAACUGGAGUGGAUUCCAGUAACUGGGUUUCUAAAGCCGACUCGGUGUUGUCGCGCUCUGUAGCGGACGCUUGUGCUGGGAAGCGUUUUGCAGUUUAUAAAUUACUUAGGAGUACUUUAAACACCUCACGCCUGCUGUACAACAGCCAUAUGUGGGUAUUCAGAGCAGGUAUUAAGGCCGUUUCAUAGACCAUCACCUUUGGCUAAAAGAACGGAGUCUCCCAAAGUCACAGCUGAGAUGAAGGUCUUGCUAUGCUGUCCAAGCUGUUCUCAAACUCCUGUCCUCAAGCAAUCCUAACACCUCAGCCUCCCAAACUGUUUCACAGGCUCUGGCUCUGGCUCUGGCUCUGUCACCCAGGCUGAAGUGCAGUGGCUUGAUUGACCACAGCUCAGUGCAACCUCAAACUCCUGAACUCAGACUUAAAGCUGAAGAAGCAAGCAACCUAGGAUGACGAUGGCCAAGACCAAAAAAAGCCCCAGCAGAAGCAUAUUCUCUCUAGCCAAAAGACCAGGAAAUAGGUACCCUAGUAAGACAAAAAUUUUUGACAUUGACUGCUGUACUUCUUUCAAACUGUGACCCCGUCUCCACCCAUAUCAGUAAAAGCUGAGUGGAGAUCCUGGACUUCCAUUUUUGUAAGGUUAUAAAGAUACAGCCAAAUUUUCCAAGGACCAAUAGAAGUUCCAAUAAAAACCAGAUCUUUCAUCCCCACUUGCCUAUAAGGAGUUCCACAUUCCCCUUUAGCAUCAAUAGAGCCACAUGGAUUUCUACCCUCUCCUUGCAGUAACAAGACAUCCCCACUGAGGUUAUAUCAGAGAGACUCUAGUGGAGAGUCAGAACUUUUAUGACCACUCAACAGUAAUGAGACCACCCACCUGUGAUACCAGUGGAAUCCAUGUGGGGAGAUGGGAUUUCCACUCCACCAGCAUUCAUGAAGAGCCUGCCCCCAUCAGAGAACAAUGGAAACUAAGUGCAAAAUAUUCACUCUACCUCUGCCUGGCUGUAAGGAGGUGGUGCCCACACUUCUGUCAGGGUGGCAUCAGAUAAAGCCAGUUAGAAAAUAAGAUUUAAAUAAUAUCCAGAAUCUGGUAAUGCAAAAUAUUCUGGUUUUAUUAAAAAAUUCCUAUUCAUGUAAAGGAGGAAGACUUCAGACUGAUAUUGUUCUUUCAGGAUUCAAUAAUAAAUGAGCCUCAAUUGAAUAAAUGAAACUCAAACUCAAAUAAAAAAAGGCAAUCAAUAGAUGUCAAUGCUGAGAUAACAGAGAUGUUAGAAUUUCAAAGCAGCCAUGAUUUUAAAAAAGCUUUAAUGAGCAAUUAUAACAUACUUGACACAAAUGUAAAAAUAGAAAACCUCAGAAAUUAAAUAGAAGAUACCAAGAAGAACCAAUUGUAUCAGGGAAAUACAAUAACCAAAAUUAAAAAACUCAGUAGAUGGGCCUUCAUCUCACUAGAUGGCCAAAAAUAUGAUCAGACAUUUCACUAGAAGGACAUAAGAAUGCAAAUGAAAAGAUGUUUAACAUCCUCAGCCGUCAGGGAAAGACACAUUUAAACCACAAUGCAAUAGUAAUACACACUUACCAGAAAAAAAAGUGACAACACCAAAAGCUGACAAGAAUGCAGAGAAAGUGAGUUACUGAGACGUUCCUGGUGGGACUGUAUAGCCACUCCACAGAACGGUUUGGCAAUGUCUUUAGACACUAAAUGUGCGAUGACUGUACAACCCAGCAGUUGUAACCUUGAGCACUCAUCCCAGAUAAAGGAAGUCUAUGUUCACACAAAAGAACUGUACAUAAAUAUUUAUUUAUAGCAGUUUUAUUCAUAAUAGCCAAAAACUAAAAACAACUAGAUGUCCUUUAACAGAUAAAUGGUCAAACAAAUCAUAGUAGACCCAUACUAUGGGACCCUAAUAAAAAGGAAGAAAUUAUUGAUAUACUCCACAACCUAUAUGAAUCGCUAGAGAAUUAUACAGAGUGAAAAAGCCAGUCCCAAAAGGUUACACGCUGUAUGAUUUCAUUUACAUAACAUUUUUUGCGAUGACAAAACUAUAGAAAUAGAGACCAUACUAGUGGUUCCCAGGAAUUAAGGAGGUAUUGGGGUAAAGAGGGAAAUAGGUGUGGCUGCACAAGGGCAACUUGAGAGAUCCUUGUGGUUAUAGAAAUAUGCUAUAUGUUCACUUAUAUCAGUGUGGAUUCCCUGGCUGUAAUACCAUACUGUAAUUUUGCAAGAUCUUAUCAUUGGAGGGGUUCCCUCUGCAUUAUUUUUUUCUUUUUCUUUUUCUUCCUCCUUUUUUAUUUUUUGACACAGGGUCUUGCUCUUUUGCCCAGACUAGAGUGCAAUGGUGUGAUCAUGGCUUACUGUAGCCUUGAACUCCAGGACUCAAGUGAUCUAUGCCCAGUUAAUCUUUUAAUUUUUUGCAGAGACAGGGUCUCCCUGUGCUGCCAGCCUUGUUUCAAACGUCUGGACUAAAGCUAUCCUCCCAUCUCAGCCUCCCAAAAUAGAGGAAUCACAGUGUGAGCCACUGCACCCAGCCUCUGAUUAUUUCUUACAAUUGCAUGUGAAUCAGAAAUUAUCUCAAAAUUAAAAGUUUAAUUAAAAAUAAAUAAACAAAUGUCUCAUAAGCAGUCUAUGUUAAGCAUUAGAAUUAUUCAAUUUUAGGAUUUUGGUUUAUUUUUUAGUGUAAUAAAGUAGGCCUUUUAUAAUCUUUUCACUUCUAGCUGCCAAUUAAAACCAGAUUCAACUUAGUUGUAUUUAUCUCUAAUUUGUCAAGCAGAGCACAGAAUCAUAUUAGAUUGUUUCUCUCCCAUUUGUAUCCAUUUUUACUUUUGGAUUUGCUUGUGUUUUAUAUUGUUGGAGGUUUCUACUUCACUUAUCAUCCAAAUUCUGUUUUAAUAAACAAUUGACAGUCUAAACAGAAAAAAAUUACGAGUUUCUUAGUAAGAGUUGCUCAGUAGAACAAAUCUUUUCAUGCUACCUAUUCCUUUACUCAACAAAGAUUUAUUGAGUGACAAUUAUGUGCCAGGCACUGUUGGGGAAACAGUAGAAAACAAGACAAAUCUCCCUAUAUUCAUAAAGUCUAUAUGUUCUAGAAGGAAGAGAUAUAUUGAUAAUUAAAAUAUAUAGAAUAUCAGAUGGAGGUAAGUGUUACGGAGGAAAGAAACUGCAGAAAAAGGUGGUCGAGUGCAUUAAUAGUGUGAUCAAGAAAACGACUGCCUUACUUCUAAUGAUGAACAAUCAUAUUAUAGCAGGAUUAAAUAUAAAUUUUCCAAAGAAGAUUACAAUUCACAAUAAAAGAGAAUGACUAUAGAACAGGAAUUUGCAAGCUUUUCCUUCACUGUGAUGCAUGUGACAGAUGGCAGUCAUAUGUGUCACACACUUCCAUAAGUAAACCAGUGAGACUUCUCGUGUGCUAUGUGUAAUUGCUGGUACCUGGCUGUAAUCCUUCUCAUUUUCUCUCAGAAAGAUCAGCUCGCAAAAAAUCAAUGAAUGAGAAUGUAUAUUAUUACAGUAGUCCUAAAUAUGAAUGUUUAAAUCACAUGUUUAAAAAAUUUUGUACUUUAUUUCUUGCAGUAAACAACUGAUUUUAACACAUCUGCAUAUUGAAUCAUUGACAAUGAGAGUAAUAGUAAUUGUGUGUGUAUAGUAAUAUCUCUUUUCUAGGGUAUAUGCAAUUAUAACAUGGAUCUUACAAAUAGGAAAAAAGAGAUGCAGGGCAAAAACUGUAAGAAUCAAUUUUAGAACAGCUUCAAAUCAGCACUCUUAAUGAAUACUUCAACAGAGCUGAAAUUUUGGCAUUAAAGUAAGUGAAUACUCAGUGGACCGAUGGCUGAAUUUCACUACCUGAGUGGGCAAA